CGGCAAAAGCUCAAAUUUGAAAUCCUUCGGGAAUUGUAAUUUGAAGAUUGUGUUUUGGAAACGACCGUGUCUAUGUUCCUUGGAACAGGACGUCACAGAGGGUGAGAAUCCCGUGCGGCACGGCCCCCGUCUCCUUAUAAAACACUCUCGAC
rnacentral:rRNA from 1 species